rnacentral:rRNA from 1 species
UACGUAGGGCGCAAGCGUUAUCCGGAAUUAUUGGGCGUAAAGAGCUCGUAGGCGGUUUGUCGCGUCUGCCGUGAAAGUCCGGGGCUCAACUCCGGAUCUGCGGUGGGUACGGGCAGACUAGAGUGAUGUAGGGGGAGACUGGCAUUCCUGGUGUAGCGGUGAAAUGCGCAGAUAUCAGGAGGAACACCCGUGGCGAAAGCGGCUCUCUGGGAACGGUACUGACGCUGAGACGCGAAAGCGUGGGGAGCAAACAGG